rnacentral:pre_miRNA from 2 species
UGCAAAAGUAUACAUGGCGUGAUAUUGAUCCGGCUCAUCUAUAUCUUCAAGUUCAAUCAUCCAUAUUCAUAUCAAUUUCAGACGAGCCGAAUCAAUAUCACUCUUGUUUGCUUCAUU